AGCGAACGCUGGCGGCAGGCCUAACACAUGCAAGUCGAACGAACCUUUCGGGGUUAGUGGCGGACGGGUGAGUAACACGUGGGAACGUGCCUUUAGGUUCGGAAUAACUCAGGGAAACUUGUGCUAAUACCGAAUGUGCCCUUCGGGGGAAAGAUUAAUCGCCUUUAGAGCGGCCCGCGUCUGAUUAGCUAGUUGGUUGAGGUAAUGGCUCACCCAGGCGACGAUCAGUAGCUGGUCUGAGAGGAUGAUCAGCCACAUUGGGACUGAGACACGGCCCAAACUCCUACGGGAGGCGGCAGUGGGGGAUCUUGCGCAAUGGGCGAAAGCCUGACGCAGCCAUGCCGCGUGAAUGAUGAAGUUCGGAGGAUUGUAAAAUUCUUUCACCGGGGACGAUAAUGACGGUACCCGGAGAAGAAGCCCCGGCUAACUUCGUG
rnacentral:rRNA from 1 species